GCCCUGGUGGCGGAAUCGGUAGACGCGUCGGACUUAAAAUCCGGUCAGAGUUAAAUCUGGUGCCAGUUCAAGUCUGGCCCAGGGCA
rnacentral:tRNA from 1 species